UGCUCAGAGGAAUGGAAAGAAUACUUCUACUUGUACAGUCACUAGUGUUGGGGAAAAAUCAAGAGUUCCAGAAUCUACAAGAACUGUGCCAAGAAAUCCAUCAGCAUGUUCUGUUUGUGAUGACAGUUUGAACUUGGACAAAACAGAGGUAAUUGGGCCCAGGAAUGCAGAUGAUCAAUUAUGUUCUUCUGUCACAUGGCAAAGUACAAAUAUUGAACAAAUCCCUUUAGAGGUUCGAAUGCAGGUAAU